CAAUAGCGUAUAUUUAAGUUGUUGCAGUUAAAAAGCUCGUAGUUGGAUUUCGGAUGGGCUUGACCGGUCCGCCGUUUGGUGUGCACUGGUCGUGCCUAUCUUGCUGCCGGGGACGCGCUCCUGGCCUUAAUUGGCUGGGACGCGGAGUCGGCGAUGUUACUUUGAAAAAAUUAGAGUGUUCAAAGCAGGCCUAAGCUCUGAAUACAUUAGCAUGGAAUAACGCUAUAGGACUCUGGUCUUAUUGCGUUGGUCUUCGAGACCGGAGUAAUGAUUAAGAGGGACAGUUGGGGGCAUUCGUAUUUCAUUGUCAGAGGUGAAAUUCUUGGAUUUAUGAAAGACGAACUUCUGCGAAAGCAUUUACCAAGGAUGUUUUCAUUAA
rnacentral:rRNA from 1 species